CCUGGCAUACAAUAGGUCCUCAAUAAGGACUUGUUGCAUGCAGUUUGUCAUAGACAACCCACUCAUUUCUGACCUCUGACUGGUG
rnacentral:miRNA from 1 species